rnacentral:rRNA from 1 species
CUGGCGGCAUGCCUAACACAUGCAAGUCGAACGGACAUAACCAAGUUAUAGCGAUAUAAGUGCGGGGUAUGUUAGUGGCGAACGGGUGAGUAACACGUGAGCAACCUGCCCUGUACAACGGGAUAACAGUUGGAAACGACUGCUAAUACGGUAUAAGACCACACUGCGGCAUCGCAGAGGGGUAAAAGUGAAGUUAGCGGUACAGGAUGGGCUCGCGUCCAAUUAGCUAGUUGGUGAGGUAACGGCUCACAAAGGCGACGAUUGGUAGCCGACCUGAGAGGGUGAUCGGCCACACUGGAACUGAGACACGGUCCAGACUCCUACGGGAGGCAGCAGUGGGGAAUAUUGGGCAAUUGGAGGAAACUCUUACCCAGCAAUGCCGCGUGAAGGAAGAAGGUCUUCGGAUUGUAAACUUCUUUUAUUGGGGACGAAUAAAUGACGGUACCCGAUGAAUAAGCCCCGGCUAACUAUGUGCCAGCCGCCGC